rnacentral:rRNA from 1 species
GUGAGGAAUAUUGGUCAAUGGGCGAGAGCCUGAACCAGCCAAGUCGCGUGAAGGAAGAAGGAUCUAUGGUUCGUAAACUUCUUUUGCAGGGGAAUAAAGUGCAGGACGUGUCCUGUUUUGUAUGUACCCUGAGAAUAAGGAUCGGCUAACUACGUGCCAGCAGCCGCGGUAAUACGGAGGAUCCGAGCGUUAUCCGGAUUUAUUGGGUUUAAAGGGUGCGUAGGUGGUUUGAUAAGUCAGCGGUGAAAGUUUGCAGCUUAACUGUAAAAAUGCCGUUGAAACUGUCGGACUUGAGUGUAAAUGAGGUAGGCGGAAUGCGUGGUGUAGCGGUGAAAUGCAUAGAUAUCACGCAGAACUCCGAUUUCGAAGGCAGCUUACUAAGCUACAACUGACACUGAAGCACGAAAGCGUGGGGAUCAAACAGGAUUAGAAACCCGAGUAGUCC